UCUGUAUGUAGAUUCUACAUGGGAAUUUCUGCGGUUGAUUCUUGACCUCUCAAUGAAAGUCCUGAAGCAAGAUGGAAAGUAUUUCACACAGGGAAACUGUAUCAAUCUGACCGAUGCCUUGACUCUGUAUGAAGAACAACUUAAUAGGCUUUACUGUCCUGUGGAGUUCUCAAAAGAAAUUGUGUGUGUCCCCUCCUACAUGGAAUUGUGGGUGUUCUACACUAUUUGGAAGAAACAAACUGAAGUCUGAACAUCAAGAUUAUUCUAAAUGUACAUGCUACAUGAAGCAUAUAGGCCUGCCACAUGGUGCAUAUUGGCAUCUGGAACCUUUAAAUUAUAUGCUGUAGAUGAUCCUGAAACUUAGUCAUGCUAUUGAUUGUGAAUUCUUUUAAAUGUUUUUUUAUUGUUAUUUUAAUUUAAAAGCAAAUGAAAAAUGUAUAUUUUGAUGAGCUAGGGUGUUAUUUUUGAAAGUCAACUUAAAGAUGAGUAAGCAGCAAAACUAUAUAGCUGCUGAAUGCACUGAACCUUUAGAAUGUGAUCCUUUUUAGUUUUUGUAGAUCUUCACAAACUUAUUGAUUAAAAAAGACAUCUUGAGCAUUUCAUCCCUGAAGGUGGUCCAUGGAGCUUGUUUUUUUGUUUUUGACCAGAUUAUUUUUUUAAUCUGUAGUGCUUUUGAUAAUGGAGGGCUUUUUUUUUUUUUGGUAGUUGAAAUUUAAUACUGCAGUGUUUUCAUUUAGAGAAGACAGGCAUAACAAAAAAAAAGAAAAAGGGGUGGGAGAGUGGAAUGGGGCCUCCUGAAAGAAUACCCCCACAUUCUUCAUUGGAAAGGGAAUAAAGCUAGAAAGCUGAUUUUAAACUUUAUUUCC
rnacentral:lncRNA from 1 species